rnacentral:lncRNA from 1 species
UUGGUUCGAAUUAUGUAAUAUUACAAAGUAAUUCGACAUAUCCAGGUAUCUUGGAUUUCGGUGUGAGAUUACUAUUGAUGCUGCAUUAGCGCGUUUGGUUUAAUGUAGUAAUGUAUUACUAGAUUACAGUAUUUAUAGCAUUAAUACGUUUGGUUCAGUUUAUAAAAUUUAGUAAUCCUGAUAUAAAAGUAUAGUUUUUUUCAAAAUUGCCCUUGUUGUCAUCAUUUGAAUAUUAUUUUUUAUAGAAAUGACGAAUGGAGGGAAGGAGAUCGUGAUGAUUACCUGGGAGGACGACGCAAUAGAAGAUGAUAGGUGUUCGUGCGAGAGAGAGAAAGAGAGAGAGAGAGAGAGACGUCAGGAGAGAGAGAGAGCGAGAGAAAACGGCGUGCGAGAGAGAGGGGGGAAGGCGAGAGAUAGAUGAAAAUAAUGCUGUUAAUUAGAUUUGGAUUUGUUGGAGGGUAAAAUUGUCACUUUGCAUAAUAUGUAGUAUUAACGGGUUUCAGUAAUGCAAGAUACACGACCCCCAUCCCGUUAAUAUUUUCGAUGUAAUCUUGCUCGAUUUGUAAUGCUACAUUAACGACUAGAUUACAUAGCGAAUUAACCAAACACAGUUAUCCUGGCAUGAUUGUCUGUAAUCCUGCCAGGAUAACUCGAACCAAACGCACCCUAAUAAAUAUGUGGCUCAUAAAUAUGUCGAUACAACAAAUAAUUAUAUAUUUAAUACU